UUAAAGAGCUGUGUGUGAGAGAUUGAGAAGGUGAAGACGCUAUCACUGCAGACUAUAAUACUGGUUCUUUUCACACCCGGCCGGUGUAUAACAAAACACAGCUCCUCCAAGAAAAGACGUCAUCAAACAUUGUUUAGACAUCACAUAAAGAAGAAAACAGAAAGCACCUUCGCCAUCAGUUACUGCUCAUAAUAGGCCUACAGUACGUGGAGGCAAGAUUAAGUCGGGCAAGUCAGUCUUCAUAGUUGAUAUAUGCAGUAUUGUUUGGAUAGUGAGCAGAAUUCAAGAGGAAUCGAGUAAAAUUUCUUUGAACGGAUUCAAUUUGUGUAAUGUUGAUUUGAAGAUGGAGUUCCAGACGACAGACGAGUAUUCAAGUAUAGGCUUAACAAGGGAAUUGAAUAAAACUAACGAGAGGGGGGUGACGAUUUUACAAGUACGUUUAAUAAAAUAAAGGGUUUGAAAGGCUUUUGAAACAAUAUUUCCGAUAUGAGAGGGCCAUUUUAGAUGGAAGGAAAAGUAACGCCAAGAUAUUUGUGUGAGGAUACUGUACAUAAUCUAAGGUGAAUUCUCAACAAGGUAACUGGGAUAUGGGAUAUUGCGCCUUGUUAUACACAUGACUUUGCAUUUGUCGGUGUUUAGGAUCAUGUUGUUCUGUUCACUCCAUUGUGCAAUAUUGUGUCGCCCUCUACCUGCUGUUUUAGGACUUCGGAAUUUUUAUGUUGGAAAGUUGGUAAUUUCUCUCAUCCCUAUCCAUGUUUUUAUUAUGUUUAAUAUAUUUAUUUUUUUGUCUAUUAAUUACUUCGCUGGAGACAACAGAUGCAUAACAACGCUUGCCAUUAUUGAUCAUUAAUCUGAUCAUGAUAGACGGAUAUACAAAUCAUAUACAACUAUAAUUGCUAACCAAAUGAUUAACCACAUAAUAACAAAACACAACAAAAAUUUUAAAACAGGCUCCCAGCUGGAGCAUGUUUCUACUGCUUUUAUUUUUACUACUUUCAACUCAUCCAAAAUGUUUGGGGCUUCGCCACAAAGACCAAUUUCAAAAGAUUUUAGGUGACGACUAAACAUGCGCACUUUGCUCUUGUCAGAAUUGGACUCCCGUCAGGCAAAUCCUGGUGCCACCCCUCAUAAUUAGUAGGCCCUAGCCUACUAGUCUCUGUUUAUGACCUCUGACCGGCGUGCCAAUGACACCAGCGUACUAUAGACUAAUUUAUACUAAAGUAAUGUAAACUGAAACGUGAUGUAAAAAAACAGACCCAAAAUGAAAUGCCUGAACAAAUUUUUAUCUACCGUAAUAAUGAUAUUACUUAUUAGUAACACAUUAAAAUCAGUAGCUUUUACCUAGGCCUAGAAUUGCCAAAUUUAGUGAAAUAAAAAAUCUAGGCCUACCUACAGUAUAAAGCAUACAGUAGAACUUACAUUUGACAUUGCAGAGCAAAUUCUCCCAAACAGUAUGUAGCUUCAACUUCACAGUUAACUUCUGGAUUGACAAACUGGGCUCAAAGUUUCUACUGCCCAGAGGGCAGUACACACAAAAACCUGCAAAGAAGAAUGAAAAAAAAAAAAAAAAAAAAAAAAAAAAAAUGACUAAAAAAAAAAAAAAAAAAAAAAAAAAAAACAUGACUGACUAAUAGUCAGCUCACUUUAAAUAUUUUCUAUGUCAAUGUUGUACUUUAAUGCGGUUUUAGUAACUCUUAUUAUCUAUUUCAGUUUCAGUACCUUAAGACAGACCGGAAAUUGGAAAAUAUUCAUUAGAGUACUUAUUGGUAAUAUUUGAGUUAACUUUCUACACUGCUGAUGCUAUAAAUUGAUUAUUAAUAUGAAGUAGGAGAUCUUACCCUGUUUUACAUUCAAUUUCUCAGUAUUUGUUGUCAAAAAGAAAACCUCAACUUUGCCCUUUACAGACAACUGUAGCUCGUAAUAUGCAUUCUGUGCACGUAUAGUAAUGAAAACUUAACCCUUGAAAUGUUGAUGAUUAAAGUUUUUGAUUAAUUUCAAAGCGGUUAUACAAAAUCAGGGUUUUAUCGUUGAUGAAUUGCGUUUGCUCUAAAUUAUUUUAUUUAAAUAUCAAAGUGGAAAUUUUUCUUAUAAGUAGUAGGUUGAAAAAUAUGCUGGCUUUUUACAACAGAAUAUUUUUUUGUCAUUUAUUUAGCACUAUCCAUAUAAUAUACUGAAAUGAAUUAGCUUAGCAUUUGACAGUGCUCACAGCGCCUAGGCUAGAUAUAUUAGUGAAUCAGUAAAUUAAGGGGCAAAAGCUCCUAGAAAAUCAGCUGGUUCCUCUCCACUUCCAUGUGCAUGCAAAACCAAACCAUCUACAAAUUCAGAUUGCUGGCCAUGGGUAUUGCCACCCUAAGCAAAAUACAGUGUGUAUUAAGGAAGUUUGUUAAAUAAGAUCUCGCAUCAAUGGUUUAUCUUAACCUAUAAACAUACCAUAAAUCUGCUGUUUAACAUGUUGACUUCCAGACCUUGUUUGUCCCACCUACAAACAUACUUUUUCGAAAUUUUAUCAAGUCACAUCAUCAAAAUGGUGUGUCUAAUAAUUGGCGGUAAAAUGUUAGGGGAUGAGUAAACUCAUGGCUGGCAGUGGGACAGUACUUUUUAUUGCCUCUGCCAAGUGUGAGUUUUCUCAUCUAGUUUUUGUAUGGCUUGGUACAGUACAGUAUAUGUUCAGAUAGUGCCUCCACACAUGAAAUCUUGUGUACUGCUGGCAACAUUACACAAUAAAAGCAUUGUCUAGGUGUAUCUUCCCCGAACUACCAGCCCUAAGUCUGUGGUUCUACAAUGUGUAACAAUAAAGUAAUAAACUCUUAAAUGUAACCAGGUUUUGAUGAGUAUAGUCAUCCCUAUCGCCCUCAGCAGCACCUGGAGGGAUGAGUACACUUGUCGCUGGCAGUGAACGUAUUUAAGAAGCUCAAAAUGUUCCAAAACUCUGCUUAGCCAUUUUACCAAGAAAUAUUUAAAGAAACAAGGUUUAACAUUUUUGUUUUAAUUUUUAGAUUAUUUUUAAAAACUGUUUUAAGCCUUUAUUAAACAAUACUUACAAUGGCUUUGCAACAUUCGCUGAACAUGGUGAAUUUGUAACGUUAUUUCCUCGAGCAGUUCAAUUACAGAGGUUUUGACAUUUGUUAAUAGGUUUUUAAUUACAAUUUUCUUGAAUGUUUGUAUUCUACUGACGUCACUACCACGCCACUCGCAUGAGGAAUCGCAGAGAUUGGUUAAGAGUUCAAAGGCAAACCCUAGUUUACUUCAAUAAAUACAAAGUGGAGCGAGUCUCAUAUUCUAUAAUGGUCUUUUUCUCGUAUCUACAACUGUGUUAUUUUUGUUUGCAUUUUAAAUAAAAACGAAAAUAAUUGUUUAUUGAAACGAACAAUCAUUUUAUUCAUGAUAAUGAUUGAAUAUUGUACAAGAAUAUAUGGUAGGCCAAGUGGCGGGGCAAAGGGGAAUUUUCCCCCCAAAAAAUUGGCUUACCUUCCCCCCAGUUCUUCCCCAAAAAAGAAGGAAAACCACAAUUCGUUGGGGAGAAAAAAAAAUUAUAAGUAUUUUAUAGAUAUUAGUAGACUAUCUACAGUAUCUAUAAAAUCGAUUAAAUAACAAAUAACAAAGUUCUAUUUAGAUAACCCUCCGAAACCCCGACCACUUCCACUUUGCUCUCGUCGGGGAACUUGGCCCUCACUUGCUCCCCCUCCCCCUAAUUUUCAGAGGCUGGUGCUGCCACUGGGUAAACCUAGGAAUAUCAUUUUGAUUGCAAAAGUAUGUGUUAGUGUUGUAUUGCUAUUAUAGGUUACGAAGAGCUUAUUUUGUUUUAGCGUAAAUACAUUGCCGUGUGUCAUUGUUAUUGGCUGAAAAAUAAAAAUAGAAAAAUUGCCAAUGAGUGCUGCAGCAUGUUUACUAUUAAUAUAUGCCAUUCAUGUCCUUAACUUGUCAUAGCUUCCGAGGAUUUUUCCGGACUUUUCCGAGGGCUUGUAGCGGCCACUCCUCAUCCACUUACGCUCCCGAAGCCCAUCAAUCAUGACUGGGUUAUUGAGCUGACAAAUAAUUUUACAUUUUUUCUAAAAGUGUCGAUAGGCAUUCUAUGCAUCAUAUGCAGGAAUCCUGUGAGAGAACAAUUGUUUGCUCUAGAGUACUACGCUGUUAUGUCAAUACCACAUGAUAAUACUCUAUCAGCUACUCAGAAUGAAGUCGGAUCCAUUGUCUUCACUGACAAACCAUUGAUCCCAAUUUCUAACGUAAUUAUUAAGAUCAUAAUUUUUCUUUGUAAAUUUUAAUUGAUGAUUAAAUAUGUGUUUGAU
rnacentral:lncRNA from 1 species